rfam:Schistosoma rodhaini strain Burundi genome assembly, scaffold: SROB_scaffold0000484
AUCCAGCUGACGAGUCCCAAAUACGACGAGACACACGUCGUGCAU